UGAGCAAUCUGCCCUUCACAUCGGAAUAACCAUUGGAAACGAUGGCUAAUACCGAAUAUGACUUCGGAUCGCAUGAUCUGAAGUGGAAAGCUCGGCGGUGAAGGAUGAGCUCGCGGCCUAUCAGCUUGUUGGUGAGGUAAUAGCUCACCAAGGCGAUGACGGGUAGCCGGCCUGAGAGGGUGACCGGCCACACGUGGGACUGAGACACCGGCA
rnacentral:rRNA from 1 species